UGAGUAACACGUAGGCAACCUGCCCGUAAGACCGGGAUAACUACCGGAAACGGUAGCUAAUACCGGAUAAUUUAUCUUGUCGCAUGGUGAGAUAAUGAAAGGCGGAGCAAUCUGUCACUUACGGAUGGGCCUGCGGCGCAUUAGCUAGUUGGUGGGGUAACGGCUCACCAAGGCGACGAUGCGUAGCCGACCUGAGAGGGUGAACGGCCACACUGGGACUGAGACACGGCCCAGACUCCUACGGGAGGCAGCAGUAGGGAAUCUUCCGCAAUGGACGAAAGUCUGACGGAGCAACGCCGCGUGAGUGAUGAAGGUUUUCGGAUCGUAAAGCUCUGUUGCCAGGGAAGAACGUCUUGUAGAGUAACUGCU
rnacentral:rRNA from 1 species